rnacentral:rRNA from 1 species
CACGUAGGGCGCAAGCGUUUGUCCGGAAUUAUUGGGCGUAAAGAGCUCGUAGGCGGUCUGUUGCGUCCGCUGUGAAAACUCGGGGCUUAACCUCGAGACGUCGGUGGAAACCCUCCAGCUAGAGUCCGGAAGAGGAGAGUGGAAUUCCUGGUGUAGCGGUGAAAUGCGCAGAUAUCAGGAAGAACACCCGUGGCUAAGGCGGCUCUCUAGUACGGUACUGACGCUGAGACGCGAAAGCGUGGGGAGCGAACAGG